rnacentral:rRNA from 1 species
AUUGAACGCUGGCGGCAGGCCUAACACAUGCAAGUCGAGCGAGCGGCGGACGGGUGAGUAAUGUAUGGGGAUAUGCCCGAUAGAGGGGGAUAACUACUGGAAACGGUAGCUCAUACAGCAUACUAUCGGAUGCACCCAUAUUGGAUUCGCUAGUUGGUGGGGUAAAGGCUCACAAAGGCAACGAUCCGUAGCUGGUUUGAGAGGACGACCAGCCACACUGGGACUGAGACACGGCCCAGACUCCUACGGGAGGCAGCAGUGGGGAAUGUUGGACAAUGGGGGAAACCCUGAUCCAGCCAUCCCGCGUGUAUGAGAAGGCCUUCGGGUUGUAAAGUACUUUUGGCAGAGAAGCGGUAUCUGCAGAAUAAGCACCGGCUAACUACGUGCCAGCAGCCGCGGUAAUUC